rnacentral:rRNA from 1 species
CGCACCUUGCGCCUCUUGGUAUUCCGAGGGGCAUGCCUGUNUGAGUGUCAUGGAAUUCUCAACCUCUAAGAUUUUUUUUCUUUUAGAAAUAAAAGAAUAAUCAAAGAGGCUUGGAUUUGGAGGUUGUGCUGGCUUUCUAGUCGGCUCCUCUUAAAUGUAUUAGUGCGAAACUUAUGGAUCGCUUUUUGGUGUGAUAAUUGUCUACGCCAUGGGUGUGAAGUAUAUUAUAGUUCGUGCUUCUAACAGUCCUUUACACACAAGGACAAUAUAACUCUGACAUCUGGCCUCAAAUCAGGUAGGACUACCCGCUGAACUUAAGCAUAUCAAUAAGCGGAGGAAAAGAAACUAACAAGGAUUCCCCUAGUAACUGCGAGUGAAGCGGGAAAAGCUCAAAUUUAAAAUCUGAUAGUCUUUGGCUGUCCGAGUUGUAACCUGGAGAAGCGUUUUCCGCGC